rnacentral:lncRNA from 1 species
AUGCUUGGGGGGUCCAAAAGCUCAAAGCACUUUCUCUUCUUAUCUCAUCUCUGCAGGUCCACCCUUGCCCGUGGAAGCAGAUGGAAUGGAGAGGAAUUUCACCCUGGCCUCCUUCACACUAGCCCCGUGACUCAAAUGAAUGAAGAAGUGAAUCCAAACCUGGAAGUGGAUAUUUUUAAAAAAAGUCCCAUCAUCAUUUUGGGAGCUGAGAUGUCCAAGUGUCACAGAGGAGGAUUUCUCAAUGAGGAACUGACCAGCAAGGGAGAAAAAUACCCUUUACAAACACUUCCUGCUAGAAGUCAAAUGAUCUUCGCACAUCCCCACUUCAGCCCUGCUCAGAGUCACCUGGUCUGA